GCUAACGCGUUAAGUCGACCGCCUGGGGAGUACGGCCGCAAGGUUAAAACUCAAAUGAAUUGACGGGGGCCCGCACAAGCGGUGGAGCAUGUGGUUUAAUUCGAUGCAACGCGAAGAACCUUACCUACUCUUGACAUCCAGAGAACUUAGCAGAGAUGGUUUGGUGCCUUCGGGAACUCUGAGACAGGUGCUGCAUGGCUGUCGUCAGCUCGUGUUGUGAAAUGUUGGGUUAAGUCCCGCAACGAGCGCAACCCUUAUCCUUUGUUGCCAGCGGUUAGGCCGGGAACUCAAAGGAGACUGCCAGUGAUAAACUGGAGGAAGGUGGGGAUGACGUCAAGUCAUCAUGGCCCUUACGAGUAGGGCUACACACGUGCUACAAUGGCGCAUACAAAGAGAAGCGACCUCGCGAGAGCAAGCGGACCUCAUAAAGUGCGUCGUAGUCCGGAUUGGAGUCUGCAACUCGACUCCAUGAAGUCGGAAUCGCUAGUAAUCGUAGAUCAGAAUGCUACGGUGAAUACGUUCCCGGGCCUUGUACACACCGCCCGUCACACCAUGGGAGUGGGUUGCAAAAGAAGUAGGUAGC
rnacentral:rRNA from 1 species